rnacentral:lncRNA from 1 species
GAUCUCACACUUGUCGCCGCAUGAAGCAAAAUGCAUACACUCCAAAACGUGGCAUCGAAGUUGACUACAAGAGUCUGACGUCAUCCAGAGUCUGAAGUUUAUCAGAGUCUGAAGUUAAGAAGCUAGAGUUAGUUAAAGUUGGUUAUUUUGAAGAAGGAAUAGAAGCCUGGAGCAACGACUAUUUCAAAUGAAUUAGAAGGCAUUGGACGGUUAUCUACUAAAGAGCACAUGAAAGGACAAUAGUACAACCACUACUCCACUUUUCCACUAUGUUGG